CCAGUACAUUUUACGGUGAGAAAAAAAAAAAAAAAACAAUGUUCAACACCAACCCAAAUCUAAAUCUGUGUUUUAUCUCUAUCAAUUUCCUGUGAUUUUUAUGAUUCUGGCCGAUUAUAGACUACUCUCUUUCACGAUUAGCCAUAAUCAAAUCCUAUCUUUCUCUCUCUAUUCAUUCAAUCGAAGAUCAGUUUUUGGUAUAAUUUUCCUAGAUCUGGUUUAAAAUACUUGUGUAAUCGCAUGUUGACCAGCAUCUUUGAAUUAUCUAGGUAAUUGGAGCUCAACCCACAUCGAGUGAUUCCAAAGUACAUUGAUCCACAGCGGGCUUCUAUCAUUGAGAACUGUUGGCAAAGGAUUCCAUUGAUGAAUAUGACAUAACUCAAGAGAAAAGACAUGAAAAAGGGUCAUAACGGAAGAAAAAAAAGUUCAAGGAUGAGGUUGUACAAACCUAAAAGAUGACCCGAAGGGAGAAUCGAGAAAUUGAACAAGAGCCAAGUACCAAUUGGGAGCCAUAAUGGAGUGACGGAGAAAGAAAAUGAAGAAAAGAGGGCAAAUGGAAGAAGAUCGUGAUUGAGAACCAAAACGCAUCAAUUGAAAGGUUGGUUCUACCAUGCGGUCGCAUGGUAGAAAAGGGCUUGCGGUUGCACAAGAGUACACAGGGAAUUCAAAAGCCAAAACUGGGUAAACCAUACGGUCGCAUGGCUUAAUACCAUGCGGUCGCAAGAUUACGACUAAAGUGCGAUUUUUCCAAUUUUCGUACGAGCCACCCAUCCCAUUCCCACAAAGGUUGAAGAAACAUAAGCUGGAUCAAGAGUUUGAGAAGUUUCUGGAUGUGCUAAAGAAACACCACAUCAAUAUCCCGUUCAUCAACACAAUAAGAUAGAUUCCAAGCUAUGUAAAAUUCUUGAAAGACAUGAUAUCAAAGAAGAGAGCUUCCAAAAUUUGAAACUGUGGCACUAACAGAGGAAAGCAGUGCAAUGCUUCAAAACAAACUGUCUUCAAAACUCAAGGAUCCAGGGAGUUUCACUUUACCUAUUUCAAUUGGAGAAGUUGGAUCUUUCAAUGCUUUAUAUGAUACAGGUACAAGUGUUAACUUAAUGUCUUUAUUUGUUUACAGAAAAUCGGGAUUAGGAGAUGCAAAAGAAAAUGACGAUGUUAUUGUAGCUGGCCAAUAGAAGCAUUAAAUAUCCAAGAGGCAAGGUUGAAGAUAUGCUACUAAAAGUGGGCAAAUUGAUAUUUCCGUUAAACUUCAUUGUCCUGGACAUGAAGAAGACAGGAAUAUUCCAAUAAUCUUAAGGCGACCAUUCUUAGCAAUUGGUUGAACUUUGAUUGAUAUGGAGAAAUGUGGGCUAACAUUGAGAGUGGAUGAGGAACAAGAAGUCUUUUAAGUUACAUGAUACAUCCAAACAACCAUUAGGUCUCGAGGAGUGUAACUGCAUCGAUGAAGAUGAACCAGGAAUUCAACAAAACUGUCAGAAGCAAAAACAAAACGAUGAUUUCAUUGAUGAAUAUGACAUAACUUAAGAGAAAAGACACAAAAAAGGGGCCAAAAUGGAAGAAAACAAAAGUUUAGGGAUCAAGUUGCACAAACCCAAAAGAUGACCGAAAGGAGAAUCGAGAAAUUGAACGAGCCAAGUACCAAUUGGGAGCAAUAAUGGAGUGAUGGAGCAAGAAGAAUGAAGAAAAGAGGGCAAAAUGGAAGAAGAACGAGAUUGAGGACCAAAACACAUCAAUUGAAAGGUUGGCUCUACCAUGGGGUCGCAUGGUAGAAAAGGGCUUGCGGUCGCACAAGAGCACACAGGAAAUUUAAAAGCCAAAACUUGGUAAACCAUGCAGUUGCAUGGUUAUGACUGAAGCGCGAUUUUUCGAGUUUACUUAUACGAACAAAACUCUUAUGGAAACCUAAUUGUGACACGAUAUAAAAACCCAAAACCAUCCAUAACAAAGGGGGAGCCACAUUAUACACUAUUUUUGAGGAUUUGAAGAGCAAGAACACGGCAGAAACGAAGGGAUUCAUUCCAAGAUUCAAGAUUUCAACUCAAGAAUUAAUUGGGUGAUGUUCUUCUGUGAUUUUAAUUGUUGUUCUUUUCUUCCAUUCAUGUGUAGUUAAAUUUUCAUGUGUUAGGAGAUCGAUUAACCAUGUAAUGUAAUCUUUGGAUUUCUAGCUUUACAUAAUUGACAUUUGAACACAUUAUUGAA